rnacentral:rRNA from 1 species
UACAGAGGUCUCAAGCGUUGUUCGGAUUCAUUGGGCGUAAAGGGUGCGUAGGCGGCGCGGUAAGUCGGGUGUGAAAUCUCGGAGCUUAACUCCGAAACUGCAUUCGAUACUGCCGUGCUUGAGGACUGGAGAGGAGACUGGAAUUUACGGUGUAGCGGUGAAAUGCGCAGAUAUCAGGAGGAACACCGGUGGCGAAGGCGGGUCUCUGGGCAUAACUGACGCUGAGGAAGCGAAAGCUGGGGGAGCGAACAGG